rnacentral:lncRNA from 1 species
GGUGUGCCAAGUCACCUUUGAAAAAUUCUUUUCAAAACUUUGACUCUUUAAAACUGGUUUGCUAACAGAGAUUCCAAGUAAUGAAUUCUGUUGAUCGAGGCGAAGGUGUUAGGCACCCCUCGAUCCCGUGGUUCGGCCACGGUCUCUUGGUGAAUUAUAUCGGCUCGUAAGACACUAUGAAUAUAUAAACCCAUAAAAACACAUAAAAGAAUCAAACAAACACAUCAAACACAAUCCAAAACCACAAUAAUAACGUUCAGUCCAAUUAUACAGUCCAAAAUAGUCCUAUUCUAAACUAGUCCUAAACUAAGCUCCACCCGACGCCUCGGGCCUUCGUCACGAACAUCUUUCAGGUACAAAAUACUUCGGGGCAUUCUCCGACCAGAUGAUACAUUUGAUCAAGCACGAUAAACUAGAAAACAUUCAACACACAUUCCACAUUCAAACAUUCAACAAAACACUUAUUCCUAAAUUUUUCCUACCCGAACCUAUACUUGUCUAUUCAUUUCAACAUGUCAUAAUUCUAUCACGUUCCAACGACAAUCAUGCUUAUUCCGAAUUAAACAAAACAACAAUAAAUCAAAAUUGAUCUAUGUUCACCCUUUUUAUCAAUUUCACAAUUCUACCCCAUCUAACUUCAUUUUUUAUCAAUCACACUAUCAAAACUACUCAAAUUCGUUUCACAUAUCACCAAAAUCACAUCAUCAAGCACAUAAUCAUAACAUUAACAAAAUCCAACAAUCAUAAUCACCCCACACAUAAUCACAACAUCGAUGCCAAAUUAAAAGAAAUAAGGAGUAAGAGUUAUAGAGAUGGACCUUCCGAAUGCUCUCAAUUGAUUAAGAAGAGAAUAAAAGCGGUCCUGAAACCUAGAAGAAUACCACAAUCUCAAUCCCGAACCAGUAAUUGGACUGGUUUAAAACUGUGAUGAAAUUGAAUUUUGAUUCAAACCAAGGAAACCUUGAAGAGUCAAUGAAUACCCGAAACCAAAACUCAAAAAAAAAAUGAGAAUCCGUAUGACAAUUUCGACGAGACUUUAAUGGAGUCGGAGUAAACUGUCGACUUUUCUGACUUGUCGACUGGACUGAUGUUUUCAGGCUGGAUUUCACCAGAGAAACCAAAAAAAAUGAGAAAAGUGUCUGGGGAUUUCAAUAUUGGGACAAAUUUAAGCUCGGGAUACUUGAACUUGACUAGAAAAUACCGUUUCCGGCGACCCCUGGUGUUUUUUGGUCAGAUUCCGGUGCUAAUUUUGGUGGGAUUGCGCCGAUUUCGUUGUUUAUUUGCCAAAUCUCUCAAAAUCCUUUCAUUCUUUCGAUUCUCUCCCUCUCUCUGCUUUGCUCUCUCUCUUCGUUACUCUCUCUUUCUCUCCGUUACUCUCUUUGUGUGUGUGAGUAUAUGUGUAUGUCUUUAUUCACUGGUUGUGUUGUGUGUGUGUAAUGUAUUGUAGUAUGUGUUAGUGGGUGUGUAUUGAAUAAAUGGAGGAGUGUGUAGGUGUCCAUUAAUGGUGGAGAGAUAGUUUGUGAGUAUAUUCUUGAAAGUGUUUUCUUUUUUGAGAAAGAAGAUGAUGAGUGUUUUCAAUGAAAAUUUCCUCUUCUUUUUGGCCCUCUGUGUCUAUGUGUAUAUCCUCUCCUUUCUUUGUGAAAAGAAACGUGGGGGUGGGGGGGG